rnacentral:misc_RNA from 1 species
AGAAUUUGACAGGGCCACGGCCUUCAAUGUCCACCACGAACUCCACCUUGUAAGGUAGAUUGGCGGAUAUUCGUUUGCCUUUCCAGAGGGCAACGUACUGCUUGAGAUGACCUUCUUUCCCAGUCAGAUCUACUUCGGGCACCCGAGGCACGUGGUAAACCUUCAAGGGAACUUUCACUCUAACCCUCGCCCCAAUCUUCUUCUCAGCUUCUUCUCCCUCUUCUUCUCCUUUGGUGACUGUUGUAGACGAUGAGGAUAAAGAUGAUGUAGCCGAAUUGUUGGAUCUCAAUGCGACUUCACAUGUAAUCGACCUCCUCCUCCUCCUCCCUAUUAUCAUUAUACUAGCAGGGGUAGUUGAGGAUAAGUGGGGCCCUUUGAUGGGGCAAAUCUUCAUUAUCGUACCGUUAUUAAUGUUGGUUCGAGCAGAAGCCACCAUCGCUGAAGAAGGAGAAGAUAACGAUGACGAAGGGGAUACAAGAAAGUUCUUCGAGAAAAUCAUCGUACUAGUCGUGGAAGCAUUGGUGGCUAUAUCUACACAACGACGCGCCGGAGAUAUUAAGGCGGUGGGAAGACUGGGGGGACAGGCGGAGGCUGCUCCUCCCGCCGAC